rnacentral:lncRNA from 1 species
AAUCUUCAGGAUAGAUCUUCAGUUCUCAUGACCACAAAAGACCAAGGUUCAGACAGGAGAAGAGACGCGGCCCGGCAGUGUGUCCCUAGAGCCUAUGAUCUUGCCACUAGGUUACAGUGCUUCCAGGUAUCACAUGGAAGCUGAGAGUGCUGAGGGCACAUCUGAAACCACUGGAGUUUGGCGACAUGGAGGUCAGGUAGUAGUGCUCUCCCACCAGGAGUCCCUCUGCACCCCUGGAAAGAGCAGUCAUUAUGCAGGACAACCCAUCUGCUCAGAAUUUUCGGUGGUGGCUUGUGCUGUGACUCUGGUCCCAUUCAUCUAUGUGCUCCUGUAGGCUUAGCUUCCCACAGCCUCCCCGGUUUUGCCAUUUGUCAUUAUCAUUCACUCUUAAAAUGUAUUCUAUCUAUGACCCU